rnacentral:rRNA from 1 species
UACAGAGGGUGCAAGCGUUUGUUCGGAAUUAUUGGGCGUAAAGCGCGUGUAGGCGGCUUGUUAAGUCGGGUGUGAAAGCCCUCAGCUCAACUGAGGAAGUGCGCCCGAAACUGGCGAGCUUGAGUGCCGGAGAGGAUGGCGGAAUACCCCAAGUAGAGGUGAAAUUCGUAGAUAUGGGGUGGAACACCGGUGGCGAAGGCGGCCAUCUGGACGGCAACUGACGCUGAGACGCGAAAGCGUGGGUAGCAAACAGG